GAAAUAAAUUAUGAUAAGCAAAAUAGACUAAAAGAAAUAUGAACUACUAUACGAUUCUGUAUUUGAAAUGAAAAAAGGUGUUGCUGUAUUUUUGUGUCACUCACUCACUCAUCCUCUUCGUGCCUGUCAGCACAUUAGGCCUCAAUCAGUACUCGACACAUUUGCCUGUCUUUUGCCUUUUUCUCGAUCUCCUUCCAGGCUUUCCCAAGG
rnacentral:lncRNA from 1 species